GGAGUCUGGAGACGACGAUCAGGUAGGGAGGCUUGGGCCUUGAGAAUCGUGCGGCAUCCUUUGGCCAGGGCCGUCUGCGGGAUCGGGGCCGGCGUCUGUGCGCAGUAGCCGAGCCAAGUGCGUGGUGGAGACGAGCAGGCGCCCGCCCGGCCCGACCCAUCCGGACCCAGGGCUCCGCCGUGUCCCGGUGGCGGCCUCUGGCCUGAGAUGGAGGAAAUCGGGAGUGGGGUUGGGUGCGGGUCCUGCCCUGGGCCUCUCGCCACAGCCGUCGCACGGAGUGGUUCGGGGGAGCCGGUCCUUGAUCGCGUGCGGGCAAUCGCCGGCCUGCACCGAACCUCGUUCCUCUCGUGAAAACCCCGAACCGAUCCCCUCUGUAAAUCAAAAUUAAAUUAAAAGGGAUACCAUAAAACCUC
rnacentral:lncRNA from 1 species